UACGAAGGGGGCUAGCGUUGUUCGGAAUCACUGGGCGUAAAGGGUGCGCAGGCGGAUCAUUAAGUCAGGGGUGAAAUCCCGAGGCUCAACCUCGGAACGGCCUUUGAUACUGGUGAUCUUGAGUCCGGAAGAGGUGAGUGGAACUGCGAGUGUAGAGGUGAAAUUCGUAGAUAUUCGGAAGAACACCAGUGGCGAAGGCGGCCCGCUGGACCGGCAUUGACGCUGAGGUGCGAAAGCGUGGGGAGCAAACAGG
rnacentral:rRNA from 1 species